UUUCGAAGGAGCCGUUUGUAUAGUUUGC
rnacentral:sRNA from 1 species